AACGAACGCUGGCGGCAUGCCUAACACAUGCAAGUCGAACGAGACCUCCGGGUCUAGUGGCGCACGGGUGCGUAACGCGUGGGAACCUGCCCUUAGGUUCGGAAUAACUCCCCGAAAGGGGUGCUAAUACCGGAUAAUGUCUUCCGACCAAAGAUCUAUCGCCUUUGGAUGGGCGCGCGUUGGAUUAGCUAGUUGGUAGGGUAAAAGCCUACCAAGGCCACGAUGCAUAGCUGGUCUGAGAGGAUGAUCAGCAACACUGGGACUGAGACACGGCCCAGACUCCUACGGAAGGGAGGAGUGGGGAAUAUUGGACGAUGGGCGAAGGCCUGAUCCAGCAAUGCCGCGUGAGUGAUGAAGGCCUUAGGGUUGUAAAGCUCUUUUACCCGGGAUGAUAAUGACAGUACCGGGAGAAUAAGCUCCGGCUAACUCCGUG
rnacentral:rRNA from 1 species